rnacentral:miRNA from 1 species
UAUCUCGGUGCGAUCGUAC